UGUGGAUAUUCUACCUCAACUACGUACAGAGCGUUUUAAUAUUGUACUUGAAUUUUCUUUUCUUAUCAUCCUUCUUUCUUCUUUUUUCGGUAGAAGAAGGGAGAAAACUUAUUAACGAUGUGAGAGAGAAUGAUAAUGAAAUUAAUAUCGCCAUCGUGGUCUCGAUAGACCUUGGCAAUGUAAUUUGGGUUGGGACCCGGACCAUGUCCAUCGUCUCAUGGUGUCACACCAGCA
rnacentral:lncRNA from 1 species